GGUCCUAUAGUCUAGUGGUUAGGACUUCCGGUUUUGACUAAAAAAUUCCACUUUCCACCAUCCGAGGUGGUUGGUUUCGUGUCCGGACGGCCUGGGUUCGAACCCCAGUAGGACCU